GAUGAAGAACGUAGCGAAAUGCGAUAAGUAAUGUGAAUUGCAGAAUUCAGUGAAUCAUCGAAUCUUUGAACGCACAUUGCGCCCCCUGGUAUUCCGGGGGGCAUGCCUGUUCGAGCGUCAUUACAACCCUCAAGCUCUGCUUGGUAUUGGGCCCCGCCAGUUCUGGCGGGCCCUAAAGUCAGUGGCGGUGCCGUCCGGCUCCGAGCGUAGUAAUUCUUCUCGCUCUGGAGGUCCGGUCGUGUGCUCGCCAGCAACCCCCAAUUUUUUUCAGGUUGACCUCGGAUCAGGUAGGGAUACCCGCUGAACUUAAGCAUAUCAAUAAGCGGAGGA
rnacentral:misc_RNA from 1 species